CCUACGGGGUGCUGCAGUGGGGAAUAUUGGACAAUGGGCGAAAGCCUGAUCCAGCCAUGCCGCGUGUGUGAAGAAGGCCUUCGGGUUGUAAAGCACUUUCAGUGGGGAAGAAAGCCUUGGGGCUAAUACCCUCGAGGAAGGACAUCACCCACAGAAGAAGCACCGGCUAACUCCGUGCCAGCAGCCGCGGUAAUACGGAGGGUGCGAGCGUUAAUCGGAAUUACUGGGCGUAAAGCGCGCGUAGGCGGUCUGAUAAGCCGGUUGUGAAAGCCCCGGGCUCAACCUGGGAACGGCAUCCGGAACUGUCAGGCUAGAGUGCAGGAGAGGAAGGUAGAAUUCCCGGUGUAGCGGUGAAAUGCGUAGAGAUCGGGAGGAAUACCAGUGGCGAAGGCGGCCUUCUGGACUGACACUGACGCUGAGGUGCGAAAGCGUGGGUAGCAAACAGGAUUAAUACCCCAGUAGUC
rnacentral:rRNA from 1 species